AAUAAAUGUAAUUUUAGCACUAUUCAUGUCUAACGUUUGACCGUUCGUCUUAUUUCAAAAAAAAUUAUGAUUAGUACUUUUAUUGUUAUUACAUGAUAAAACAUGAGUAGUACUUUAUGUGUGACUAAUUAUUUUUAAUUUUUUCAUAAAUUUUUCAAAUAAGACGAACGGUCAAAACACUGAACAUGGAUAACUAUGGAUACACUUAUU
rfam:Oryza meridionalis cultivar OR44 (W2112) chromosome 4, whole genome shotgun sequence.